CGCGCAGGUGGUUUCUUAAGUCUGAUGUGAAAGCCCACGGCUCAACCGUGGAGGGUCAUUGGAAACUGGGAGACUUGAGUGCAGAAGAGGAUAGUGGAAUUCCAAGUGUAGCGGUGGAAUGCGUAGAGAUUUGGAGGAACACCAGUGGCGAAGGCGACUGUCUGGUCUGUAACUGACACUGAGGCGCGAAAGCGUGGGAGCAAACA
rnacentral:rRNA from 1 species